rnacentral:rRNA from 1 species
UACCCGCAGCACAAGUGGUGGUCAUUAUUAUUGGGCCUAAAGCGUCCGUAGCUGGCCUGUUAGCUGCCUGGGUAAAUCGAUGCGCUCAACGUAUCGAACUCCGGGUAGACCGGCAGGCUUGGGACCGGGAGAGAUGUGAGCUACUCGAGGGGUAGGGGUAAAAUCCUGUAAUCCUUCGGGGAGGACCAGUGGCGAAGGCGUCACAUUAGAACGGCUCCGACAGUGAGGGACGAAGCCCUGGGGCGCAAACCGG